rnacentral:tRNA from 1 species
AGGAAAAAAAGAAAGGAAACAGGGCUGCUAACUUUGUUUCGAGUGGUUAAAUUCCAUUCUUUUCCUU